rnacentral:rRNA from 1 species
UACGGAAGGCAGCAGUGGGGAAUAUUGCACAAUGGGCGAAAGCCUGAUGCAGCUAUGCCGCGUGUAUGAAGAAGGCCUUAGGGUUGUAAAGUACUUUCAGCAGGGAGGAAAGAAAUAAAACUAAUAAUUUUAUUUUGUGACGUUACCUGAAGAAGAAGCACCGGCUAACUCCGUGCCAGCAGCCGCGGUAAUACGGAGGGUGCAAGCGUUAAUCAGAAUUACUGGGCGUAAAGAGCGCGUAGGUGGUUUUUUAAGUCAGAUGUGAAAUCCCUAGGCUUAACCUAGGAACUGCAUUUUGAAACUGAAAAACUAGAGUAUCGUAGAGGGAGGUAGAAUUCUAGGUGUAGCGGUGAAAUGCGUAGAUAUCUGGAGGAAUACCUGUGGCGAAAGCGGCCUCCUAAACGAAUACUGACACUGAGGUGCGAAAGCGUGGGGAGCGAAACAGGGAUUAG